rnacentral:rRNA from 1 species
CAGCAGCCACGGGAAUACAGAGGGUGCGAGCGUUAAUCGGAUUUACUGGGCGUAAAGCGUGCGUAGGCGGCUUUUUAAGUCGGAUGUGAAAUCCCUGAGCUUAACUUAGGAAUUGCAUUCGAUACUGGGAAGCUAGAGUAUGGGAGAGGAUGGUAGAAUUCCAGGUGUAGCGGUGAAAUGCGUAGAGAUCUGGAGGAAUACCGAUGGCGAAGGCAGCCAUCUGGCCUAAUACUGACGCUGAGGUACGAAAGCAUGGGGAGCAAACAGGAUUAGAGACCCCUGUAGUCCCUGUCUCUUAUAC